UUUUUAAUAUUUAAUUAAAUAGACAAUAAACGGAUCAGUUAACCAACUCAAAUCCUUCAACUAAGUUGUUUUUAUGUCAACUCUUUUUUCUAAAAGAGGGGAAGGAAUGGUUGCGCCGUAAUUUAGUAAUCAUCAAUUAGUUAUUACUACUAAGUAAUUGUUACCGCUUUGUCCAGAAAGGCACAAUGCAAAUCACUGAAAUCAGAGAGGAACGAAUGACUUGCGACGUGUCCAUUGCCUCGUUCUCUUUUUUCCCCACCAUAUACAUAAGCAGUCAAACCCAACCCACAACAACACACACGCUUCACCAAAAUUCAUCUCUCUCUUUUUUUUUUCUCUCCUAAUUUUCUUGCGAAAAUCUAUCUUAAUUUUCUAGGCAGCCAAACACGCUUCUUCCCGAAGAACUCGCCCUCCCCAAGAUGAUGAAGAAAUCCAGUCUCUUUGCAGCCUCCGUUGUCGCUGCGUCGGCCACCGCGGUUUCUGUUUCGUCCUCCACGCACGUCUCCAUUCAGGAUGGUGGGUCUCAGAGGGGACAUGGAGGCUCUUCUUCUUCUCCAGAGGGUUCCGCUUCGACAGAGAAAUUUGCUCCAAGAUUCGACGGGUUGCGGUUCAUUGAGACCCUAGUCACUGCUCACAGAUGAAACCUUUGUUUUCUAGGGAACAAGGAUUUUAAAGCUUCUUGCUCAAUUAUUGUACUACUAUUUUCCUUUUGUUUACACCUUUUUGGCCCUGUUAAUCGUUUUUAUUUUGCGCGCUAUAUAGGAAAAAAGGAUUUAACCAUGGAAAAUUUUUAACUUUUUUCUUUUCAUUUUGUCGUAGGGUUAAAGAUUGAGCGAGAGUGAGAAAUUGUAAUGUUGCGAGAUUGUUUUGUUUCAUGUUCUUUUUAUUUGUACCCUUUUGUGUUACCUGAACUUAUGAUGUGCUUCUUGUGAUUCUUCUGCAUGAAUUUUCCAACAAAUAAUAAAAAAAAAGUUUCUACC